rnacentral:rRNA from 1 species
GACGAACGCUGGCGGCGUGCUUAACACAUGCAAGUCGAACGGAAAGGCCCUGCUUGUGUGGGGUGCUCGAGUGGCGAACGGGUGAGUAACACGUGAGUAACCUGCCCUUGACUUUGGGAUAACUUCAGGAAACUGGGGCUAAUACCGGAUAGGAGCUCCUGCUGCAUGGUGGGGGUUGGAAAGUUUCGGCGGUUGGGGAUGGACUCGCGGCUUAUCAGCUUGUUGGUGGGGUAGUGGCUUACCCAGGCUUUGACGGGUAGCCGGCCUGGGAGGGUGACCGGCCACAUUGGGACUGAGAUACGGCCCAGACUCAUACGGGAGGCAGCAGUGGGGAAUAUUGCACAAUGGGCGGAAGCCUGAUGCAGCAACGCCGCGUGCGGGAUGACGGCCUUCGGGUUGUAAACCGCUUUCGCCUGUGACGAAGCGUGAGUGACGGUAAUGGGUAAAGAAGCACCGGCUAACUACGUG